rnacentral:rRNA from 1 species
AACGAACGCUGGCGGUAUGCCUAACACAUGCAAGUCGAACGAGACCUUCGGGUCUAGUGGCGCACGGGUGCGUAACGCGUGGGAAUCUGCCCCUUGCUUCGGAAUAACAGUUAGAAAUGACUGCUAAUACCGGAUGAUGUCUUCGGACCAAAGAUUUAUCGGCAAAGGAUGAGCCCGCGUAGGAUUAGGUAGUUGGUGGGGUAAAGGCCUACCAAGCCGACGAUCCUUAGCUGGUCUGAGAGGAUGAUCAGCCACACUGGGACUGAGACACGGCCCAGACUCCUACGGGAGGCAGCAGUGGGGAAUAUUGGACAAUGGGCGAAAGCCUGAUCCAGCAAUGCCGCGUGCGUGAUGAAGGCCUUGGUCGU